rnacentral:rRNA from 1 species
UGGGGAAUAUUGCACAAUGGGCGCAAGCCUGAUGCAGCCAUGCCGCGUGUAUGAAGAAGGCCUUCGGGUUGUAAAGUACUUUCAGUCGGGAGGAAGGUGUCAAGGUUAAUAACCUUGGCAAUUGACGUUACCAACAGAAGAAGCACCGGCUAACUCCGUGCCAGCAGCCGCGGUAAUACGGAGGGUGCAAGCGUUAAUCGGAAUUACUGGGCGUAAAGCGCACGCAGGCGGUUGAUUGAGUCAGAUGUGAAAUCCCCGGGCUUAACCCGGGAAUUGCAUCUGAUACUGGUCAGCUAGAGUCUUGUAGAGGGGGGGAGAAUUCCAUGUGUAGCGGUGAAAUGCGUAGGGAUGUGGAGGAAUACCGGUGGCGAAGGCGGCCCCCUGGACAAAGACUGACGCUCAGGUGCGAAAGCGUGGGGAGCAAACAGG